rnacentral:rRNA from 1 species
UACAGAGGUCCCGAGCGUUGUUCGGAUUCACUGGGCGUAAAGGGUGUGUAGGAGGCUAGGUAAGUCAGGUGUGAAAUCUCAGAGCUUAACUCUGAAACUGCGCUUGAUACUGCUUGGCUAGAGGAUCGGAGGGGGUAACGGAAUUCAUGGUGUAGCAGUGAAAUGCGUAGAUAUCAUGAGGAGCACCGGUGGCGAAGGCGGUUACCUGGAAGAUUCCUGACUCUGAAACACGAAAGCCAGGGGAGCAAACGGG